rnacentral:rRNA from 1 species
CGAAGGGGCUAGCGUUGCUCGGAAUCACUGGGCGUAAAGGGCGCGUAGGCGGCCGAUUAAGUCGGGGGUGAAAGCCUGUGGCUCAACCACAGAAUUGCCUUCGAUACUGGUUGGCUUGAGACCGGAAGAGGACAGCGGAACUGCGAGUGUAGAGGUGAAAUUCGUAGAUAUUCGCAAGAACACCAGUGGCGAAGGCGGGCUGUCUGGUCCGGUUCUGACGCUGAGGCGCGAAAAGCGUGGGGGAGGCAAAACAGGAUU